GGGCCCGCACAAGCGGUGGAGCAUGUGGUUUAAUUCGAUGAUACGCGAGGAACCUUACCAGGGCUUAAAUGUAAGUUGCAUAGAGUAGAGAUAUUCUUUUCUUCGGACUACUUACAAGGUGCUGCAUGGUUGUCGUCAGCUCGUGCCGUGAGGUGUCAGGUUAAGUCCUAUAACGAGCGCAACCCCUGUUGUUAGUUGCCAGCGAGUCAAGUCGGGAACUCUAACAAGACUGCCAGUGCAAACUGUGAGGAAGGUGGGGAUGACGUCAAAUCAUCACGGCCCUUAUGGGUAGGGCUACACACGUGCUACAAUGGAUGGUACAGAGAGUUGCGAAGCGGUGACGUGGAGCU
rnacentral:rRNA from 1 species